GACGAAGGGGGCUAGCGUUGUUCGGAAUUACUGGGCGUAAAGCGCGUGUAGGCGGUUGUUCAAGUCAGGUGUGAAAGCCUUGAGCUCAACUCAAGAAAUGCACUUGAUACUGGAUGACUAGAGGACCGGAGAGGAUAGUGGAAUUCCCAGUGUAGUGGUGAAAUACGUAGAGAUUGGGAAGAAUACCAGUGGCGAAGGCGGCUACCUGGCCUGUUCUUGACGCUGAGGCGCGAAAGCUAGGGGAGCAAACGGG
rnacentral:rRNA from 1 species